rfam:Gossypium raimondii Chr09_contig_1767, whole genome shotgun sequence.
UAGUAAAAAUUUCAUUCAUUUUACUGUUAAAAUUAACAUUACUGACAAAAUAAUCAAAUAGUUACACUACUGUGCCAUAUGUACCUCACUCUGACAUACAAGAACCAAUUUUUAACAGUAGAAAUGAAUGAAAUUUUUAACU